rnacentral:lncRNA from 10 species
GUAUUACAUACUACAUUCUUUUUUUUUUUUUUUUUUUUUUUUUGAGAUGGAGUCUCCCUGUAUUGCCCAGGCUGGAGUGCAGUGGCACCAUCUCAGACUUAUAAAACUAUCAGAUCUUGUGAGAACUCACUCACUAUCAUGGGAAUAGCAUGGGGGAAACUGCUCUUAUGAUCCAAUCACCUCCUACCAGGUUCCUCCCUGAACACCUGGGGACUGCAAUUUAAGAUGAGAUUUGGGUGGGGACACGAAGCCAAACCAUAUCACCUGCCCAAAGAGAAAGGGAGGAACCAGGAUGAUUUCCAGGCAAUCACCCAAGCUAUCUCUAUCACAUUGCCUCUUUUAAUUUUAUUAAAGCCCUUAUCAUUCACUGUCAUUUUCUUGUUUACUAAUUAACUGUCUUUUCUUUUAUUCGAGUUUAAGAUCUGUGAGAGCAAAAUCCCUGACUUUCUUAUUUUCCACUAUAUAUUCCCAUUAUCUAGAAUCAGGCUUCAAAUAUAACAGGCACUGGGUAAACAUUGCUGAAUGAAUGAAUGAAUGAAUGAAUGGUCAAUUAAUUAAUGAAUCAAAUUACCCAUUCUGGGCUGUCUUUAGAUGUCUGCACAACAUUAAUAAUUUUAAAACUGGGCUGGGAAUGGUGGCUCACUCCUGUAAUUGCAGCACUUUGGGAGGCUGAAGGUGAGAGGAUCACUUGAGGCCAGGAGUUCAAGAACAGCCUGAGCAGCAUAGUGAGACUCCAUCUCUACGAAACAACAACAACAAAAUAGUCAGAUGGCCAGAUGUGGUGGCACACUCUCAUAGUCACAGCUACUUGGAAGGCUGAGGUGGGAAGAUCACUUGAGCCCAGGAGUUCAAGGUUGCAGUGAGCUAUGAUCAUACUCCUGCACUCCAGCCUGGGUGACAGAGUGAGACCAUGUCUCUAAAUAGAUUAAAAAUAAGUUUAAAAAACUGAAGUCCUUUGGUAUGCCCUUAUUUUAUUGGCAUUGAGAUCCAGCCUUUGAAAGUUUCCUCCACCAUUUUUUAGAAAGAUUUCAUAGCCCAUUCUUUGAUCAUCAUUUACUUCCCAUGUACCCCAAGACGUAUUUUAUAUCACAAAAUUAACAAAAUGCUUUCCUGGAACAAAAAUGCCACCACAGAAGGCAUUUUGUCAGGGUCUUCAGGGAGCCAAAUUAACCCAGUGGACCUAAAGAGAGAGCAUCUCCAUCAUGCCUGCAGGGACUGACAGAGAAGAUAAUCUCAGUAUUCCUUGGCCACAGCUGUUCUGUGGGCAUCAUAGCUGGUUUCUACUAUGAUGUCUCUUUCACAGGUAUGAACGUUUCUGUAGGAAAAUAAAGGGUUGCACCAAAUGAAAAUAAAAGCAACUCACUGAGAAAUAAUGCCAUGUGGGAGAUGGAGUGGAGUCCAAGAAAAUUAAAAACAUUCCAAGUUACUGUUUUGGUUUGUUCUGUUUCUCGUUCUGAUGAGGCCAAAUGAUUGACAUCUGUUAGACACUCCUUUGUGUUUCAGAGCUGAUGUCGUACCCAUUCAGAAUUUAAAAAGAAAAGCUAAUCAUGAUUAUUGCCUCAUGGUGUAUAUCAGUCUGCUGAAGGAUUUUUCUGAAGUGAAUACAUGUUUUUUGGCAGCUCUUGUUUGGGGGAGAGAGCCACCUGCUCUAAUUCUUCAUCUAGUGGAAAGGUUUGGCACUAUCCUCUGUUGCUCUUUAAACCAAUACUAACAAGGGAAUAAUAGGAAUAUGAAACAAAAGAAACAAACAAGGAGAAAUAUCUCUUCUAUUGGUGUAGCCAUCAAGGUCUACUCAGAAAAAUAAAGCCCAGAUGAAACAGUUCAAUGGUAAGGAUUUAAUUAGGGGAACUAGUUAGGAAGGUGCUGGAAGAGCUGAAGUGGCCAACAAGGGGCAGUGAAAGAAGACAUCAGUUCUUUGCAUCUCAGAGGAGAUUCAACUAAGUGACUUGCCCCAAACAACUUGAUACAUCAGAUUGGCAAUAGCGGCAAGCUGCGACCACACAGGAAGGCGGUGUUAUGGGUCAAAUUGGAUCCCCUCAAAAAGGUAUAUUGAAAUUAGGUCAUCACAAAUGUAAUGACUUAAAUUAAAAUUAGGUUAGACUGGAAUAGUGGGCCCCUAAUCUAAUAGGACUAGUGUCCUUAUGAAAAGAGAAGAGACACAGAGAUAGACAUAGGGGCAAGACGGCCUUCUGAUGACAGAGACAGACUAGAAUAACGCAGCUGCAAACCAGGGAAUGCCAGGGAUUGUGGCCACCACCGGAAGCUUGCAAAAGGUGAGGACAGAUUCUAUGCAGAGUCCCAGAGGGAGCACGGCCCUGCUGACACCCUGAUUUUGAACUUUCAGCCUCCAGAGCUGUGAGACUAUACAUCUCUGUAGUUUUAAAAUACCCAGUCUGUAGCACAUUGUUAGAGCAGCCCUGAGAAACUAAUAUGAAGGGCGUAUUCAGAAUCCAAGCCCAGGACCACUUAGGGGAGGUGGAUUUAUGAGAUGGCCCAGGAAGAGGCUAGGGUCAUGGAGGGAGGGCCUAGCUAGUAGGAUCUGGGACUGCAGAGGAGACUCAGUCAUUGCUGGAGAAGCCACGGAAGCAGGUGAGUGUCAGGGAAGGAGGGAGAAAUACUCUGGCCUCUCUAUUCCACUCAUCCUCCCAGCUCCUGCCAGUGCCUCUCUGUUUCUGAAUCUAGUUAGAAACCAGUUGGCACAAGAGUCUGCAAAAUUGUUGUUUUUGGGGGCAGGGUAAGAAAUAAAUCUGAGUAAAAAAAGGCAAUGCCUGUCACUCUAAGGGGCUGUCAUGUUAGGCUGGCAUGUGCACUGGAUGUUCUGUUCUCUGCAGCCAAGUCGGGAAAUACAGGAUAUCGAUUACUGCACAUACCCUAACAGCAGGAUUGUGGAGGUUGUUUGAAGUGAAAAAGAUCCUAAACACAAAGGCAAAAUAUUACAAGCCACUGUGGUUUCAUUAUUAAAGGCAUUUGUCCAAUGACCUGGAGUCAAGAAAACUGCCACAAAUUGGAUUUUUGACAAUUUGGAUGUUGGAUUUUGGACAAACAUGGUUCACUUUUUCUAUCAUGUUAUGAAGAAGAAUUGAAACAAUGAUAUGGGGUAUUGCUAUGAAGAAACGGAGAAAAUUUAGGGCCGAAGACCUACAAAAUUUGUUUUUUAAAUAGAGAGAGAAACUUCUCCUUCACCCACUAAAAUUGCCAAAAUCAAGAAGGAAGUGAAUAGAUGCUAGAGUGAUAUUUAUUUCCCGACCCUAUAUGACUCCCCUGGACCUAAUGUUCCACAGUAAAAAUUAAAACAGUAUAUAUGCAGCGGUGAUUUGCAAAAGGACUGGAAACACUUGUGGAUUUAAACAAAUGCAGAUACUUAAAAUAAAAAUCCCCACCAUUCUUUAAAGGAAGCAGCAUUUGGUAAUGAACUUGAGAUAAAGUUUUCUUUCUUUUGAAAUGGAGUCUCACUGUGUCGCCCAGGCUGGAGUGCAGUGGUGUGAUCUUGGCUCACUGUCAGCUCUACCUCCUGGGUUCAUGCCAUUCUCCUGCCUCGGCCUCCCAAGUAGCUGGGACUACAGG